CCCCUCAGUGGUGUCAAGAAGUGAGUCACAAAGUCAGAUACAUUUUUCUUGUCUACCCUCACUUAAAAGUGUUUCAUCAAAUCUCAUGGCUUUGAAUCCUGUCUAAUGAUUUCCAUACCUAUAUUUUAAUCUGAAUCUCUCUUCAAAUCUGGAUCAAGUACCCAACUGCCUAUUACAUAUCUCCUUCCUGGAUAUCUAAUAGGCACCUAAAACUUAAUAAAUCCAAAGUGGACCUGCCCACCCCCAGCUAAUUUUUCUGCAGAUUUCCCUAUCUCAGUAAUGACAACUCCUAAUUUCUAGAUCCCUGGGCCAACAAUAUUAGAUUCAUCCUUAAUUAUUCUUUUUGUAAUACUUGUAUCAACCAACUAUGUCCUCUCAACCUCUGAUAUAUUUAGUCAGGGAUCUUCUUUCACCUACACUGCUAUCACCUUGGUCUAAGUGACAUCAGUUAUCAGCUCUUUCCUGUACUAUUGCUAGACUACUAAAUGGUCCUUACUUAUUUUCUUGAAUCCACCUCUCCCUGGGUGAGGGAUCAAGCACUCCCCACUCCACAUACAUAUAUAGUCUCUUGUCAUCACAGCAGCCAAAACAUAAACAUAUCCUAACAAUUCUCUGAUUUUACCAUUUCACUUGAAGGAGAAACCAGUGCCAUGUAAUAGCCUUCAUAGUAUUCUAUGACUUGGCGCAGCUAGAGUAUCUGUCAGAAUGAGCCAUAGACAAUUCUUUGAAAAGCAUUUGUUGGAAAAUAAUUUUUUGUAAGUUAGUCCCAAGUCAUUCUGCAAGUGGAAGAUCAGAAAUGAACAAAUGCUAGCUCUAGAAACCUAGCAAUUAUGGACAUAUGGGCUUGCAUUUAAUAUUACUGUAGUGAUUAUGAUAACCUUUGUAGAAAAAUAAGUCAAAGGACAAGAGGUUUGGCACAGAACUUUGAGAAAUUUCAACUUUUCAUGUUUAUGUGAAGGUUGGAAGGACUUGGGAGAUGGGGAGUAGAAGCUAGAGAACAAGAAAAGAAAUCAAGAAGAGUGUAUGAUCACUCAAGUGUGGGUUAUAUAGAAAAGUGAGACAUAGUCUCAAGAAGCUAAUAUUGGAUUUUAUCUGUGAAUUUAUUCAAUGAUUGAAUUUUUUAUUUUUGCUCACCAGAUGUAUUUGACAAUCAUUGACAUUUUAAGAUAUAGUUAUAAAAGCUAGACUAUAACCACUGUAUUUUUUCUGUGGUAAUUACAAGGUCAUGUAUUUGCCUUGUAAAAAAUGAUGUUAUACUGACUGCAUGCUUUAUUACACUGGACAUCUUUGUCAUAAGUUCCUAUUUCCAUGCUUUUUCAUGGCCAUUUUUGUAAGAAAUGCUCACAAAUAUGCCUAGAUAUUUUGCAUUGAUGUCUAUUUGCAAACAAUUUUGAUAGUCUUAGCAUUCUUAUAUUUUAUAUUUAGGAAGAAAAAGUGAUCACAAUAUUUGGCCUGUAUAACUCUUGAUGUCUUGACUCUUGAAUGACAGAUGUUUACAAUUUUCACAAUGUAAGAAAUCUUAGGAAAUUUUCUACAUAAGGUAUAAAUGAACAAUGGAAUUUGACUAAGAUCUUUAAAAUAGGAUUAAUUAUAUAUACCUUAUACAGUUGUAGUGAAGAUUAAAAGAGAUAAUAUAUCACAGUGUAUUUAGUAAAGGAUAACAUAUUGUAUAAGUGUAAAUUACACAUUCAUCAAAUAGAUAGUAUAAUGCAUAUUGUGUAGAAACAUCUCUAAUGAGCAAAGAGGUAGCCAAGAAUAUAAAUAUGACUAAAUCUCUUUCCUCAAGAUGUUUUCAUUCUAGUAUUGGAAGACCGGAGUAAUUUUAGCAUAAAUAGGAAUACACUAAAUGUAAAACUCAAAUGGCAAGCUUCUUAAUGAUGUGGCUUCUUUCAUGUUCACUAUAACUUCUUCACUGCUCAGAAAUGGUACUUGCCAGAUACAAUGCACUCAAUGCUUAUUCUAUACAUUGAUGAAUGCAAAAUAAACAAUAGCAUACUCAAAAGAAAUAACAGAUGAAAACAGGUUGUAAAAUGUAAAGCCAUAUUCAAAUGUAAAUAAAAGACAGUGUUAUGGAUUUUCAAAGGAAGGAAGAAUUACUUCUGAAUAAGAAGAAGCAAUUCUUCUCAAUGGGGAAGUGGCAUUUGACUGGACAUUUUAGCCUGGGGAAUUUUAAGAAGUGGAGAUUAAGAUUCUUUUUAGGAUGGAGGAGUGAUGAAAGCAAAGGGUAAGAAGGGCAGGUGAAAACAAAUAGUCUAAUGUUUUGUAUGUAUUAGUAGUAUGUAGUUGAUAGCUUUAGAAGACAAGAUUGUUUUAAUAUAGGUUUAGGCUAGACACAGUAAUCAAUAAUAUAGGCUUAAUUCACAAUCUAAAGGAAAGGUUUUUUUUUGAACAGUUGAAUAUGCUAAUAAAUAUGUAACUAUGCAUUUGAAAAAGUUGUCAUGCUGUGGCAAAAAUAUAAUUUGAUUAAAAGUUAAGACAUUUAAAAUUAGUCAUAUUAGAUAAUUAGAAAAAUAACAUUGACUAAAUGGUGACUAAAUAGGAGCUCUCAUUCCCACUAGAAAACCUAUUAAGAAAACCUAUUAAGAAAAAGGCUAUGGAAAAAUGUUUGCUAUUUGUCACUGUUUAAAUAACUAAUGCAUUGACUGAAAUGUUUAAAGAACUAAAUAUUUUUCCACAGUUGCAGCCACCUGGUGAGUUGCUAACAGUUAGACAAAGGCAACCUUAAGGAAACAUAUUUAUCACUACACCCCAUGCAGUUCCAGCCAUAAAGAGUUCAACUCCAAAAUGGAUAUUUCCCUUGGGCUGUAAAAUUUUGUUUCAGAAAAAAAACCUUGUAGGGGAAUUAAACUUCCCUUUUUAAAAAUUGAUUUGAGUUUUAUAGUUAUUCAAUUAUGCUGCUGUUCAAUAAACUUUUAUUAAACCUAUGUGUGUCUAACACAAGUCCAGGCACUGGGGCGGGGGGGGGAUAAACAGGAUGCAUUUUCACACUAUUAUAAUAGACACUUAAAAUAUAAACACUGCAUCUGCCCUUGAUGGCAGAGAAACUCAGAGGGACACUUUCUAAUUAUUUAAAGAGAAGAUAUGAAAAUUCUCUUUAUUACAUUCAUUUUCAAUCCAGUGCAAGAAACAAACAUAAGUGGCAAUUAAACACAGAAUUAUGACCUGCAUCACAAUCCAUUUACUUUAAAGAUACAUGAGGAAGGAGAUAAAAUCAUACUAUAUAAAAUCAUACUAUAUUCAGAUCUAGCAAUAAUCUUUUUUACUUUCCAAGUUUUGCCCAGAAAGCUUCUUAUAUAAUUUUAUUCAAGGUGUAAGCUUAUUAUAGAAAAAGUGAAAAAUACAGAUGGCUAUAAAUCAUAAGAUAAAUUACCUUCCAUCUAAUUUCACAAAAAUAACAGGUUAAUAUUUUGCUAGAUUUCCUCUUAAGUUUAGCAUUUAAAUUCUUUUAUAAAAUGGAAAUAAGAAAAUAAAAUUAACUACCUUGUCUCCAGUAUUUCUUUUCUCCAUGAUAUAAAGAGAAAGGUGAAGGCCUCCCUCACAAGCUCCAGUUCAUCUUCAGAAGUUACCACACACCCCCACCCAUGCCCCACUCUACCUUUAGAGAUGGUUUUAACUGUUUUGCCUUUUCCCUGGAUUUACUCAUCUCUCUUUUGGUCUCUCUCUUUUCAUUCUCUGUCUUCACUCUUUACCUAUCUGAAAGGGUGCAUUUUAUUUUUUUAAUAAUAACAGUAUCACUAUAUAUUGAUCUGUAACUCAAUCUAGUAACACUGACAAUAUAUUAUUUCAAUAUAUAGAGAUUCAAUUUACUCUUUACCUUGGCCACAUGGUGUUCCAUGACAUGGAUAUCUCUCAAUUUAUUAAAUACUUUUAUCAUUGUUAAACAUUUAAUUGCCAAUGUUUGUUAAUACAAGCAAUGGUAUAACACAGAUAUGAAUGCAUAUGAAACUUACUGGGCAUUUCUAGAAUUAGUGAUAUUCUGAGACAUAGACUCCUCCUUUUGAAAAUCUGGGUUAGAAGAAAAUAAGCUAAUAAGAGUAAAAAGCAUUUAUCAAGGUGCUGAAAAUUCAGGGUUCCACUCUGACAAUUUCUGGCUAUAAUCUGACUUUUUUUUUUUUUCCACCCUAAUGGGAACACUAGGCCAGCCCGCUAGUAUAUCUUAGAGAUGGCAGCCUUUCAAAAGGGGAAGGAGAUUUGAACUUAGUUUUUUGUUUUUUUUUUUUUCCCCAGGAGGGGGUUAUUUAUAAAUUUUUUAAAAGUUGUAGUUGAUUUAUAAUGUUUCAGGAGUGCAGCAGAGUGAUUUAGUUAUACAGAUAUAUAGAUAUAGAUCUAUCUAUUCUUUUUCAGAUUCUUUUCCAUUACAGAUCACUACAAAAUACUGAAUAUAGUUUUCUGUGCUAUACAGUAGGACUUUGUUGUUUACUUUAUAUAUAGUAGUGUGUAUCUGCUAAUCCCAAACUCCUAAUUUAUCCUUGCCCCCUUUUCCCUUUAGUAACCACAAGUUCGUUUUCUGUCUGUGAGUCUCUUUCUAACUUGUAAAUAAGUUCAUUUAUACCACAUUUUAGAUGCCACAUGUAAGGGAUAUCAUAUGAUAUUUGUGUUUCUCUGUCUGACUUACUUCACUCAGUAUGAUAAUCUCUAAGUCUAUCCAUGUUGCUGCAAUGAACUUAAUUCUAGUUAAGUUUUGUAAAAAUACGUUUGCCUCACUUGCACCUGAUUCUUCUGGAAAAAAAAAAAAUUUAGCGUUAACAGGGAACUAUUGGAAAAACAGUGAGGUUAUAGUGACUGGAAAGGAACACCCUAAUUUUGUAAUCGUGGGGGGAGAGUAACUUCAGGAUCUGUUGUAAAGGAACAUCUUAGACUCUGAGAGGUGGGACAGCCAGAGGAACAUGAAUGCUUAUUGGAUCUUCAGAAGCUCCUUCACCCUCAGCCUUUCUAAUUCUUACUAAGGAGAUCCCUAAGUGGCUUUAAGUAGUUUUAGAGGUUAGAUAUGAUUAAACAAAUGGAUCAUGUUUUAUGUUACAAAUUGGUUAAACUAGUUUGUCAGUGCUCAGGAUAUCAAAAUAAAGCAAGGAUUGAAAUUAAAUUACUUAGUGAUUUUUGAUCCAUGUGUAUUAACUAAAUACAGUUUAGCUAGGAUUUUAGAGUUGGCCCUCCCUAUCCUGCAGUCCCACAUAUGCAAAUACAGAGGGCUGGCUAAGGAACUUGAGCAUCUGUGGAUUUUAGUGCAUGUAAGGUGUUCUGGAACUAAUAUACCCUGUGGACAUCGAGAGACAACUGUACUUUAUUUCUUGUGCAAACUUUUGGUUUCCUUGGUAUUUUCCACUUGCUUAAUUUCAUAAUUAUUCUAACUCAUCCUCAAACUCUCACAGAAACAUAAAUCUCUAAGAAACACUUGCUGAGUGCCUGCUAGAUUAUUAGGUACUGCUCUGAGAAUCUGCGAUAUAACAGUAUUCCAUGAAAAGCUCUCUGACCAUUUGGAGCUUACUGUCUGGCUGGUGAGACAGGUGAUAAACAAUAUUAUAAUAAAUAUAUGUACUAUCAAUAACAUUAAAAGAACUAGAAGGUACAGGGGAAGAAGGGCAAGGCAUAGCAGAGGGUAGAUUGCAGAUUUCAUUAUUAACAGGGAGUUGAGGCAAGCCUCCUUGGAAAGGCAACACUGAAAAGUCAUUCAAGGAGUGCAGGCUUGGAAGUGAUCACACUACCCAAGAAAGAAGCAUGCCUGGCAUGUUGGAGAACUAAGGGAGUGAGGGGGUGAGAGACAGGAGAUGAAGGUAAGAAAUAGGGCCCGCUUAAGACUUUGACAUUUAUUCUGAGAGAAUGAAGUUUUUAGGGCUCCAGCAGAGAGUGAUCAUCUGACCUCUGUUUUAAAGGAUCUUCUUGGCUGCUGGGCUGAGAUUAGCGGGUACUCUUUGGGAUGGGAGCAGAGGAGGGUGGGCUGGAACAGGAAGAGGAGUGAAAAAAGUUACAGGUGAGAUACUUGGUGGCACUGUUGCUUACACAUAUGGGGAACACUGGGGGUGGGGGGUUGCUUCUCUUUAGCCAUUAUUGCCAGUGCUCCUGGCCUUCGUUCAGAGGUCUGAAUGGAUUGCUUAAUCUGUGUGUUCCUACUGGAAUCUCUGUUCACCAUCACAGGCAGGAUGCCUUUCAACUGCAGUGGAUGUCCUGUUUACUACCCAAAGUUUCCUCUUCCUUGAAGACGCCU
rnacentral:lncRNA from 1 species